rnacentral:rRNA from 1 species
UACGUAGGGUGCAAGCGUUGUCCGGAAUUAUUGGGCGUAAAGAGCUCGUAGGCGGCUUGUCGCGUCGGCUGUGAAAACUCGGGGCUCAACUCCGAGCUUGCAGUCGAUACGGGCAGACUAGAGUGCGGUAGGGGAGAUUGGAAUUCCUGGUGUAGCGGUGGAAUGCGCAGAUAUCAGGAGGAACACCGAUGGCGAAGGCAGAUCUCUGGGCCGUAACUGACGCUGAGGAGCGAAAGCAUGGGGAGCGAACAGG